rnacentral:lncRNA from 1 species
GGGAGGGGAAAUCCUCUUGCCUAUGGAAUGAUUUUGUGUUUAUUCUUUCCUGCCUCCGACCAGCAAGAUUCCCUGGGUCCUGGGCGUAUAAACACCUCCUGAACAGCCACAGCCGGCCUCCCAAGAUGAUUCCAGGAAACACAACGCUGACUCUUCAAGAAAAGAAAUUCCUUGCCAAGGGCCACAUCUGUGGCAAUGCCAACAAUGCCAGAUCCGAGUCCUCGUUGACCUCUACAGGCAUUCCAGCAGCCCCAGGGAGCAAGGGCUUCAGCAGGAUGGUUUGCUGGGGGAGAAUGGAGACAAGCAACACCAACAGGCAUGUGGGUAGACAGAUGGAUAUGGGGGUGAACGUGGAUGUGUGCGUGGUGUAGAUAUGGGCAUG